CCAUUUCUCUUCUCUAACCUUCUGCAAGUGCAACAGUGUCGAUUGAGUGAAGAAGAAAUGAUUUCGAGUGAGGUUGAUCAUCAAUAGUGUGGUUUUUAUUCACAUAGUUGGUGUUUACGGUAUUGUUUCACUCUCAUGGUAUUUGAUUGACUGAUACGGGUUGAAACAGGGCCUCAUCCAUCUCUGUACUAUGGGGGGGCAUCCAUUAUUGGACCUGGAUUAUUCUCUUCCUCAUUGCACAUCUAUUAUCUUUAUCACCAGCAGUAUGCAUCUCGUCUUCUUCGGCAGUUUUGCAGACCAUCAUUCCCAUGAUGGAUUCAACCAGUAUGUCCCAGUAUUUUGCUAGAAAUCAUCUUUAUGAUUUCAAAGUCUCUACCGAGUCUCGAUCUCAACUUGUAAUUCUUGUUCUUCAAACUCGAGUCAACUCUCUGAAAGCUUUGGAGCCAAGAAUUUUUCAAAUUUUGAACUUCCUUGAUUGGCGGCAUGACAGUUGCUGUGCGAUCUUUCAACAUGAUUUUUCUAGAGCAUUUACUACCUUCCUCAGUCAAUCAAAGGGAGUUACUGCGAAUCUCUCGUAUACAAAGUCAACUAUAUUCUCUUUCAAUGCCAAAUAUUUGCCAACAGUUCAUGCUGUUAUUAUCUUUCCGCGAUUAAAAGAUCUUCCUUAUAUUUCUGAAACAAACUUGGGUAACCCUGUUGUCACUUCUCCUAUAUCUAUCCAAACAAAGUGGAAGUCGAAUCCUCAUUCUUUCUUGUUAUACUAUUCUCUGUUUAUCUGCAAGGAAAAAAUGGCUUCAUCUUCGAAAAACCCUGUCACUUCCAUUACCAAUCAACUUCGGAAUGCCAACAUACGAAAUAUCUCGGCUAUGAAACUUAGAAAAUUUGUUGGUUUCGUGAAAGCUCUCUCUGUAGCCAAGGAAGAAAGAGGUCAUACUCUCAUAGGAAAGGUUUUCAACGAAGAUUCUUUGGAAACAGAUCUAGUUAGGAAGGAACUAAAGUCACUUUGGAAGCCUUACAAGUUCAGAGAAAUCAGAGCUCUGGACAGAAACAUUUUUCUCUUCAAGUUUCACACACAAGAGAAAAUGGAAGCGGUACUCAAAAGGAAUCCGUGGACUGUAUGUAAGUCUCAUCUCAAUCUUCUCCCAUAUGAUGACGCUAUACCUCUCAAGGACUGAAAUUUUACUCAUUGUGAAUGGACUAUCCAAUUUAAAAACUUAUUACUUGAACAUCAUUCUGUCCAAGUAAUUGAUGAAGCUUUGGUUGAACUUGGUCCUAAGAUAUCAACUGAUCCUCCGAAUUGUCGUCCCACUUACGGAAGUAUGAUAUCUGCGAGGGUUAAAAUAGAUCUACGUAAGCCUCUUUUUAGAGGUGGUUGGUGGAAUACUAGAGCUGGAGGCGUUACUUGGGUGAGGUACCACUGGGAGCGUCAACCUCAUAACCUGUGUCCUCAUUGUUGGACUAUAGAUCACAAUCAGGAAGAGUGUGCAACUGUGGCACAUGAUCUGAAGGUUCGCCGUUAUACGAAUGAGGAAUACAUCAAUUACAUACAUGACUUGUCUACAUCGUAUAACGUGGAAAUAUGUGAAGAUAUGGAUCUCUUAAUUCAGAGAAUUUGUGAAGCUAGCAAACAGCAAUUAGCUGCUCAGGAAGAUGGCCACGAGGAACCGAGAAGGACUAAAAGGUCUAGAAGCACUGAAGAUGAGGAUGCUGAAUCUAUUGAGUACUCAGAAAACAAUGAGUCGACUACUCAUAAUAAGCAAAAUUCUGCUAAGAAUCCAUCAUGUACUGAGUUUGAUGGAAUGGAGCAUGAUCUAAUAGAGGAGGGAGAGAAUACUGCUAAGGAGUCCCCCCAGUUGAUGGAUGAGGCUGCUGCUGCUCCAAAAGAUCUGGUGAACAGCAGGCUGCAGAAUGCAUCUACUUGAUGGAGAUAAGGAAUGCAGCUCAAGCAGAAUGUAUGGGUUUGUGGGAGGCUGUAAACUUGGCAGAAAGAUUAAAGCUGGAGAAAGUAUACUUUCAACUUGAUGCAAAGGUUGUUGUGGAAGCAGUCAAUAACAAUACUUCCAUCGAUUGGCAAUUACUCAAUUUAGUAAAAGAUAUUCAAAGUUUUUUUGGUAGAUUUCGAUUUUGGAAAUGUUCCUACAUUCCAAAAGAAGAACCAAUUUGUGCAAAUUGCAAUGUAAUCCAUUUUGAAGUUUAAGGCCGCAGUGUAACUUCAGUUCUCUUAAAUCUUGUGGUGUGUUUGAGUAAGUUUGUUGUGUUCGAGAUUCCAAGACUUUGGGGUGAAGAUUUGGAUGGAAAAUUAGUUGGAGAGAACCUAGCUUGUCGCUGUUCUUCUAUGGAGUUGGUGCGCUGUAUGGAGAGAUUAGGCUCUAUUACCCAUCACCUGCAUAGCAUCAUCACCUGCAGUUCACCUCUACAACAGUACCACGAGUUAGCGGUUUAAUGCUUGCAAGCCAUAUUGUUUCGAAAGAACCCCUAGUAUAACACACUUGGUCAGCAAAUGUUUGAGCCAAUAUGAGAAGCAAGCCUUUCGUGAAUUAUCGCAAGUUCUCCCUAUUUUUGCGGAUCCUGUUCGUGCUAUAACGGGAGAAGGCAGUGCUUACGGGGACAUUGGAUUCCAAAUCAGUAGUGCAAGCACAAGUAGGAGCUUAAGUAGGAGGGGCAGCAGAGGUAAAGGAGCUCAUCAACUCUAUCUGGUGCAACAUUGUCUCCGGUUACAAAGGCUUCAGCAUCAGCUUCAUAGGCAACACCAUCAACUACAAAUUUCGCAUUGACGUGUCAGCAUUGCACACGUCUGGUUGCCAGCUUUGAUGGUUUAACUGCAGUUAAGGAGCUUGAGUUAGGGAGAAGGGUAUUUUGGAGACAAAUAACACCGUUUUCUUCCCAAACUGUUAUGUCGCACAGAACAUGACCAUUUUGUAAACCAAUUACAAAAAUGUGACCUUUUUGUAAACGAAUUAUAAAAAGUAGGAUCAUUUUGUAAUUGGCCCUAAAAAUUGCGAAAACAAAAGAAGAAGCAUACAACUAUACAAGAGACUGAACUAUGGGCAUCAGAAAAAAUCAAAUCAUUGUCCCCUGCGAACUAAAAUCACACUUCUUUAAAAAUGAGAAAAAAUGUGACUC